rnacentral:rRNA from 1 species
UACAGAGGGUGCAAGCGUUGUUCGGAAUUAUUGGGCGUAAAGCGCGUGUAGGCGGUCCGGUAAGUCCGCUGUGAAAGUCGAGGGCUCAACCCUCGAAUGCCGGUGGAUACUGUCGGGCUAGAGUGCGGAAGAGGCGAGUGGAAUUCCUGGUGUAGCGGUGAAAUGCGCAGAUAUCAGGAGGAACACCUAUUGCGAAGGCAGCUCGCUGGGACGCAACUGACGCUGAGACGCGAAAGCGUGGGGAGCAAACAGG